AACUUAAAGGAAUUUGACGGGGGCCCGCACAAGCGGAGGAGCAUGUGGUUUAAUUCGAUGAUACGCGAGGAACCUUACCUGGGCUCGAACGUAAGAUGACUGUAGGUGAAAGCUUACAUCUCUUCGGAGCAUUUUACGAGGUGCUGCAUGGUUGUCGUCAGCUCGUGCCGUGAGGUGUCGGGUUAAGUCCCAUAACGAGCGCAACCCCUACCUUUAGUUGCCAUCUGGUAAUGCUGGGGACUCUAAGGAGACUGCCGGUGACAAACCGGAGGAAGGUGGGGAUGACGUCAAGUCAUCAUGGCCCUUACGGCCUGGGCUACACACGUGCUACAAUGGUCGGUACAAAGGGUUGCCAAGCCGCGAGGUGGAGCUAAUCCCAUAAAACCGAUCGUAGUCCGGAUCGCAGUCUGCAACUCGACUGCGUGAAGUCGGAAUCGCUAGUAAUCGUGAAUCAGAAUGUCACGGUGAAUACGUUCCCGGGCCUU
rnacentral:rRNA from 1 species